AAUGAACGCUGGCGGCAUGCCUAAUACAUGCAAGUCGAACGGCAGCACGGGAAGUUUUCUCCUCUGAUGUUAGCGGCGGGCGGGUGAGUAACACAUGGAUAAGCUACCUAUUAGACGGGGGUAACUUCGAAGCACCGUAGAUACUACCGACGAAUAUUUUGUACCGGCGGGUGCACAAGUGACAGAGGGUCUUGCUGUUAGUUGUAGCUGGAUCCGCGCUGGAUUAGCUAGUUGGUAAGGUAACGGCCUACCAAGGAAACGAUGCAUAGCCGAGCUGAGAGGGAGACCGGCCACACUGGGACUGAGACACGGUCCAGACUCCUACGGGAGGCAGCAGUAGGGAAUUUUGCGCAAUGGGCGAAAGCCUGACGGAGCAACGCCGCGUGAGUGAAGAAGGUCUUCGGAUCGUAAAACUCUGUUAUUAGGGAAGAAAACAUGUGUAAGUAACUGCGCGCAGCUUGACGGUACCUAAACAGAAAGCCACGGCUAACUACGUG
rnacentral:rRNA from 1 species